GAGGCCUAUCACGGAGCUGGCGGCCUCCAACUGCGACCGACCUCGAGGCUGCAGAGGCAGGACUUACCAACGCGAGGCUGGCCGACUUCGGGGCUGUGGUUGCGGGGCGACCCAACUUCCGACCCGACUUUGGAGCCUCGGAGGCUCGGCCACGGGCCAGUGGACGACAUCAUCGGGAGCUCGCAGGUCACAGGUAGUUACCUGUUUUUCCUGAGCUCCCGCAACUACAGCUGCAUCCGCUGGACUGGAGGGCGGCAGCUUCGGCAGCUUCGACCGCCCCGGGCCGCAGAGUUUGAACCGGCCUGUUUGCGGAGCACGGAUUCAGCCGCGGGACUUACCUACCAUCACCCGGCGGGGUCACAACAUCGGAGGCUUGGAUUGCCUCAGCGCAGAGGGAGAGUAAGGAGGGAAGAGACAAUGACUUUGGGACUUUAAACUGUGUUGAGUGUUUGUUAUUUGUUCUAUGUUAUGACUGUAGGCUAAACCAUUUUGUUGCACUGAAAAGUGCAAUGACAAUAAAUUGAAUCAAAAUCAAAUCAAAUCAUGAGAAGGUGCUGGAACUGGAUUGGCCAUGUAUUGAGAAGAGAACCAGACAGCAUCCCAAGAAUAGCCCUGCACUGGACACCGGAAGGGAAAAGGAAAAGCGGGAGACCUAAAACCACCUGGCGUCGAACUGUAGAGGCGGAAAUGAAAACAAUGGACCUGACCCGGGGUAGAGUCCUGACGCUAGCCCAGAACACACAGGAAUGGAGGACCUUCGUUGCUGCCCUACAUGCCAGGAGUAAGAGACGCACCUUAAAGAUCACGCUCAGACCAGGCUGAAGUCUAACUGGAUCGGUCAAAUAUAUCACUCUUCUUAUCUCUCCAAAUCCAGAGGUACUGCAAUUAUAAUCCGUAAGGGCAUACCAUUUAAACAUAAAAACACCAUAGCAGACAAAGAUGGCAGACUCCACCCAGCAAAACCUGAUAAUUGGGGAAGAUUUCAAUUGUGUUCUGGAUCAGUACUUGGAUAAAUCCUCACAACAAAAGAGAUAUAAUACAAAAUCAAAAUCCAGCGAACUUUUAAAUACGUAUAUAAGAAAUACAAAUAUAACAGACAUAUGGAGGAUUGCAAAUCCAUCCGGAAGAGAAUUAAAAAAAUCGGGAACGGAAGUCCGAUCGAUUGUUCUUCAGCAGCUGGCAGCCCGAGGAAGUCCGCCUCCGAUAAGCAGUAGAAAACGGCAUUUUAAUCCCGCCUAGCCCCCCAAAGGCGCCAAAGUCACGCACACGGCCAGUGGCAGAACUGCAGCGCAGCUGAAGGUAAGUUUUGUAACAUCGCUAAUAUAUUACUUUGCUGCAAUAAUAUGAAAUACUGUGGUUCAAGAUCC